GGUCAUUGAGCAUGGUCUGGGACAUCUGCCAUUUACAGAAAAACAGGUGGUCACUCCAACUGAGUCCGUGUAUACUGGUGUAGAUUUCUGUAAGAGAUUAUGUGGUGUGUCUAUAAUCAGGAGCGGUGAGAGUAUGGAGAAUGCUCUGAGAGCAUGUUGUAAGGGAAUCAAGAUUGGGAAAAUUCUAAUCCAUAGAGAAGGAGACAAUGGCU